rnacentral:rRNA from 1 species
UCAGGACGAACGCUGGCGGCGUGCUUAAUACAUGCAAGUCGAGCGGACCGAAUCAGGACUUGCUCUUGUUUGUUCAGCGGCGGACGGGUGAGUAACACGUGGGCAACCUGCCCGCAAGACCGGGAUAAUUCCGGGAAACCGGAGCUAAUACCGGAUAACACCAAAGACCGCAUGUUCUUCGGUUGAAAGGCGCUUCGGCUGUCACUUGCGGAUGGGCCCGCGGCGCAUUAGCUAGUUGGUGAGGUAACGGCUCACCAAGGCGACGAUGCGUAGCCGGCCUGAGAGGGUGACCGGCCACACUGGGACUGAGACACGGCCCAGACUCCUACGGGAGGCAGCAGUAGGGAAUCUUCCGCAAUGGACGAAAGUCUGACGGAGCGACGCCGCGUGAGCGAAGAAGGCCUUCGGGUCGUAAAGCUCUGUUGUGAGGGACGAAGGAGCGCCGUUUGAACAAGGCGGCGCGGUGACGUACCUCACGAGAAAGCCCCGGCUAACUACGUGCCAGCAGCCGCGGUAAUACGUACGGGGCGAGCGUUGUCCGGAAUUAUUGGGCGUAAAGCGCGCGCAGGCGGUCCUUUAAGUCUGAUGUGAAAGCCCACGGCUCAACCGUGGAGGGUCAUUGGAAACUGGGGGACUUGAGUGCAGGAAAGGAGAGCGGAAUUCCACGUGUAGCGGUGAAAUGCGUAGAGAUGUGGAGGAACACCAGUGGCGAAGGCGGCUCUCUGGCCUGUAACUGACGCUGAGGCGCGAAAGCGUGGGGAGCAAACANGAUUAGAUACCCUGGUAGUCCACGCCGUAAACGAUGAGUGCUAAGUGUUAGAGGGGUCACACCCUUUAGUGCUGCAGCUAACGCNAUNAGCACUCCGCCUGGGGAGUACGGCCGCAAGGCUGANACUCAAAGGAAUUGACGGGGGCCCGCACAANCGGUGGANCAUGUGGUUUANUUCGAAGCAACGCGAAGAACCUUACCAGGUCUUGACAUCCCCUGACAACCCAAGAGAUUGNGCGUUCCCCCUUCAGGGGGACAAGNUGACAGGUGGNGCAUGGUUGUCNUCAGCUCNUGUCGUGAGAUGUUGGGUUUAAUUCCCCCAACGAGCGCAACCCUUUGUCUCUAGUUGCCACCAUUCAGUUGGGCACUCUAGAGGGACUGCCGGCUAAAAGUCGGAGGAAGGUGGGGAUGACGUCAAAUCAUCAUGCCCCUUAUGACCUGGGCUACACACGUGCUUACAAUGGGCGGUACAAAGGGCUGCGAACCCGCGAGGGGGAGCGAAUCCCAAAAAGCCGCUCUCCAGUUCGGAUUGCAGGCUCGAACUCGCCUGCAUGAAGCCGGAAUCGCUAGUAAUCGCGGAUCAGCAUGCCGCGGUG